rnacentral:lncRNA from 1 species
GGAACAGCUGACCACAUCCUAAAACUUGACUGGGGAAGGCUAGUUUUUCACUAAACAUUGACCAGCAAGGACCACACACCAACAUGGCAGGCUGGGCAGGAGACUUGCUGCCGGGCAGCUUUAGCAUUAUAUCAGAAGGGAGUGGGUAUAACAGACUGGAGAAUUCUUGCAAUGCCAGAAACAGAUGGGAGAGUUCAGGCAAGGCUAAAGCAGCCAGAUAGUUAGCCAAACGAUUACUGGCAGACAGUCAGUAACAAAAUUUAUGUACGCAGUUACGACCUAACCAAACCAAAACAGCACAAUUGAAUUGGACGGUCAUAAGUAAAUAUUAAUUUUCAAAAAGGACUUGACGAUGCUGGUGUUUGGUUCAAAUAUUGCAUAGCCAGAAUCUAACACAGGUAAUUAAAACUAAAAUAUCAAUCCAAUUAAUAUCUCUGUAAAAUAAUACGUUUAUUUUCCCCACUUCAUCUCUGCAAUCCAAAUUCCAGUUGCAACCACAUACAGCAAAUCCCCCUGCCUCUCCAGGUGUAAAAACCUGCAUAUAAAUUACUAGCUAGCACAAUGACACAAACCAUAAUAAACCCGCUGUGAAGUUGUUUAAAUUAGACAGGUCAACCAUUCCAUAAGCAUAAUUACUGGUGCAGAUUGUACAAACCACAGAUACUAGAGUUUACCAAAUCAGAAAUCAUGCAACUAAAUCAGAUUUCAAAGUAACAAAAAA